UACGUAGGGCGCAAGCGUUAUCCGGAAUUAUUGGGCGUAAAGAGCUCGUAGGCGGUCUGUUGCGUCCGCUGUGAAAACUCGGGGCUUAACCCCGAGCCUGCAGUGGAUACGGGCAGACUAGAGGUAGGUAGGGGAGAAUGGAAUUCCCGGUGUAGCGGUGAAAUGCGCAGAUAUCGGGAGGAACACCGGUGGCGAAGGCGGUUCUCUGGGCCUUACCUGACGCUGAGGUGCGAAAGCCAGGGGAGCGAACGGG
rnacentral:rRNA from 1 species